rnacentral:rRNA from 1 species
UACGUAGGGGGCAAGCGUUGUCCGGAUUUAUUGGGCGUAAAGAGCGUGUAGGCGGCUAGGUAGGUCCGUUGUGAAAACUCGAGGCUCAACCUCGAGACGUCGAUGGAAACCAUCUGGCUAGAGUCCGGAAGAGGAGAGUGGAAUUCCUGGUGUAGCGGUGAAAUGCGCAGAUAUCAGGAAGAACACCCGUGGCGAAGGCGGCUCACUGGGCCGGUACUGACGCUGAGGUGCGAAAGCGUGGGGAGCAAACAGG